GAUAAACGCUGGCGGCGUGCAUAACACAUGCAAGUCGAACGAUGAAACUUAGAUAAUUUCUUCGGAAUGAUUUUAAGUGGAUUAGUGGCGAACGGGUGAGUAACACGUGAGUAACCUGCCUUACACAAGGGGAUAGCCUUUGGAAACGAAGAAUAAUACCCUAUAAAGUCAAUUUAUCGCAUGAUAGAGUGACCAAAGAUUUAUCGGUGUAAGAUGGACUUGCGUCUGAUUAGCUAGUUGGUGAGAUAAAAGCUCACCAAGGCGACGAUCAGUAGCCGGCUUGAGAGAGUGUACGGCCACAUUGGGACUGAGACACGGCCCAAACUCCUACGGGAGGCAGCAGUGGGGAAUAUUGCACAAUGGGGGAAACCCUGAUGCAGCGACGCCGCGUGAGCGAAGAAGUAUUUCGGUAUGUAAAGCUCUAUCAGCAGGGAAGAAGAAAUGACGGUACCUGACUAAGAAGCACCGGCUAAAUACGUGCCAGCCGCCGCGGUAA
rnacentral:rRNA from 2 species